rnacentral:rRNA from 1 species
GGUGAACGCUGGCGGUAGGCCUAAUACAUGCAAGUCGAACGGCAGCACAGUAAGAGCUUGCUCUUACGGGUGGCGAGUGGCGGGCGGGUGAGGAAUACAUCGGAAUCUACUUUUUCGUGGGGGAUAACGUAGGGAAACUUACGCUAAUACCGCAUACGACCUACGGGUGAAAGCAGGGGAUCUUCGGACCUUGCGCGAUUGAAUGAGCCGAUGUCGGAUUAGCUAGUUGGCGGGGUAAAGGCCCACCAAGGCGACGAUCCGUAGCUGGUCUGAGAGGAUGAUCAGCCACACUGGAACUGAGACACGGUCCAGACUCCUACGGGAGGCAGCAGUGGGGAAUAUUGGACAAUGGGCGCAAGCCUGAUCCAGCCAUACCGCGUGGGUGAAGAAGGCCUUCGGGUUGUAAAGCCCUUUUGUUGGGAAAGAAAAGCAGCAGGUUAAUACCCCGCUGUUCUGACGGUACCCAAAGAAUAAGCACCGGCUAACUUCGUG